GGGGUAGAGCACUGUUUCGGCUAGGGGGUCAUCCCGACUUACCAAACCGAUGCAAACUCCGAAUACCAAUGAGUACUAUCCGGGAGACAGACUGCGGGUGCUAACGUCCGUAGUCAAGAGGAAAACAAUCCAGACCGCCAGCUAAGGCCCCUAAAUUAUAGUUAAGUGGGAAACGAUGUGGGAAGGCAUAGACAGCUAGGAGGUUGGCUUAGAAGCAGCCACCCUUUAAAGAAAGCGUAAUAGCUCACUAGUCGAGUCGGCCUGCGCGGAAGAUGUAACGGGGCUAAAACUAUAUGCCGAAGCUGCGGAUUUGCAAUUUAUUGCAAGUGGUAGGGGAGCGUUCUGUAAGCCGAUGAAGGUGGAUUGAGAAGUCUGCUGGAGGUAUCAGAAGUGCGAAUGCUGACGUGAGUAACGACAAAGCGGGUGAAAAACCCGCUCGCUGAAAGACCAAGGGUUCCAGUCCAACGUUAAUCGGGGCUGGGUGAGUCGACCCCUAAGGCGAGGCCGAGAGGCGUAGUCGAUGGGAAAUUGGUUAAUAUUCCAAUACUUCUGUUUAAUGCGAUGAGAGGACGGAGAAGGUUAAGUCAGCCUGGCGUUGGUUGUCCAGGUGGAAGGUUGUAGGCAUGUAUCUUAGGCAAAUCCGGGGUACUCUAUGCUGAGAACUGAUAGCAAGCUGUACUUGUACAGUGAAGUGGCUGAUACCAUACUUCCAGGAAAAGUCUCUAAGCUUCAGUUAAACAGGAAUCGUACCCGAAACCGACACAGGUGGUCAGGUCGAGUAGACCAAAGCGCUUGAGAGAACUCUGCUGAAGGAACUAGGCAAAAUGGUACCGUAACUUCGGGAGAAGGUACGCUGCCGGCGGUGAUAGGACUUGCUCCUUGAGCUGUUGGCAGCCUCAGAAACCAGGCCCCUGCAACUGUUUAUUAAAAACAUAGCACUCUGCAAACACGAAAGUGGACGUAUAGGGUGUGAUGCCUGCCCGGUGCUGGAAGGUUAAUUGAUGUGGUUAGCGCAAGCGAAGCUAUUGAUCGAAGCCCCAGUAAACGGCGGCCGUAACUAUAACGGUCCUAAGGUAGCGAAAUUCCUUGUCGGGUAAGUUCCGACCUGCACGAAUGGCAUAAUGAUGGGGGCGCUGUCUCCAGCAGAGGCUCAGUGAAAUCGAAAUCGCCGUGAAGAUGCGGUGUACCCGCGGCUAGACGGAAAGACCCCGUGAACCUUUACUGCAGCUUGACAUUGAACUUUGAUCUUACUUGUGUAGGAUAGGUGGGAGGCUUUGAAGUGGCGACGCUAGUUGCCAUGGAGCCGUCCUUGAAAUACCACCCUGGUAAUAUUGAGGUUCUAACUCUGUCCCGUUAUCCGGGACGAGGACCAUGUCUGGUGGGUAGUUUGACUGGGGCGGUCUCCUCCUAAAGAGUAACGGAGGAGUACGAAGGUGCGCUCAGCGUGGUCGGAAAUCACGCGUAGAGUAUAAAGGCAAAAGCGCGCUUAACUGCGAGACCCACAAGUCGAGCAGGUACGAAAGUAGGUCUUAGUGAUCCGGUGGUUCUGUAUGGAAGGGCCAUCGCUCAACGGAUAAAAGGUACUCUGGGGAUAACAGGCUGAUACCGCCCAAGAGUUCAUAUCGACGGCGGUGUUUGGCACCUCGAUGUCGGCUCAUCUCAUCCUGGGGCUGAAGCAGGUCCCAAGGGUAUGGCUGUUCGCCAUUUAAAGAGGUACGCGAGCUGGGUUUAGAACGUCGUGAGACAGUUCGGUCCCUAUCUACCGUGGGCGCUGGAAAUUUGAGAGGAUCUGCUCCUAGUACGAGAGGACCAGAGUGGACGAACCUCUGGUGUACCGGUUGUGACGCCAGUCGCAUCGCCGGGUAGCUAUGUUCGGAAGGGAUAACCGCUGAAAGCAUCUAAGCGGGAAGCCUACCUCAAGAUAAGAUUUCCCUGUGACUUUAUGUCACCUAAAGAGCCGUUGAAGACUACGACGUUGAUAGGUUGGAUGUGGAAGUGUAGCGAUACAUGAAGCUGACCAAUACUAAUUGCUCGUGAGGCUUGACUAUACAACACCCA
rnacentral:rRNA from 1 species